rnacentral:rRNA from 1 species
AAAACGCCAAAGCAACUACGAGCGCAAGCUUAAAACUUAAAGGACUUGACGGUGUCCCAUCUACCUAGAGGAGCCUGUUCUAUAAUCGAUAAUCCUCGUUAUAUCUCACCUUUUUUAGCUAAUCAGUCUGUAUACUUCCGUCGUAAGCUUACCAUAUGAAUGUAUUAGUAAGUUAAAUAGUAAAAACGUCAGGUCAAAGUGCAGCCAACAAAAAGGGAAGAAAUGGGCUACAAUUUCUACUUAAGAACAUACGAAGUAACUGAAAAUACUUGAAGGCGGAUUUAGAAGUAAAAUGAAAAUAAAGUGUUCAUUUUAACAAUGCUCUGGGACGUGUACACACCGCCCGUCACCCU